AAAAACAGGCGAUAACUGGGCAUCUUGGGCCAGGCCUUCCCAUUACACGUAUCAGCCACCCCCCAUUGUCAGCUGCGUUCCCUCCCUUCCCCCCUCAUCCAGCUUGCAAAAGUGAUACUUUCCAAGCCUUCAGCACUUUUGCUCCGCAGAGUUCUCGCGUGUCCCCCAUCUGCGGGUGCAGAUGAGGCCUUGGCAAGGGGCAGGCUGAUUAUCGCUUCAGAAAACAGCUACACUGUCUUGUUAAUUCUUUGUCAAGGUCUUGACCAAAGCAUAAAUUCUGAAGAAAAGGAACGUGGAGUAUUGAGGAUCACAAGCAGCUAAUCAGCUUCACAGCAAAGAGAUACCACACAUACGUAGGCAUGCUAUUUUUCAUGCAGUUCUCAAUGUUAAAGAAAAAAAUCCUUGGCUUGCCUUGCUUUUAUGCAGCUUUUUUAUUUUUGCCAAGAGAAUUAUGACGGCAACCAUUCUAAGGCUAUUAUACAGGGCAGUAAUUAUUAUAAUUGUAAAUACAUAUAAUGAUGAUUAUAAUUUUCUUCAGGAAAGGACCUUGGGAGGAGGUGAUAGGAUGAACAGAAGGGAACUUGCAAAAAUGCGUGGGCCACAAUCCAGCACACCUAGGCAUGCUUCUGCAUCUAAGGCUGCAAUCCAAUACACACUUACCCAAUGAAGCUUACUUCUGAGUAGACAAGUAUUGGAUUUCAGCCUUGGACUGUUAACUUGGACAUCCUGUUGAGUGCUAAAGGCUUCCUAAUUCCUGAUAAUCUUCACAGGAUUACCGUAAAAUAAAUCUAUAUGUUUUCUGACAGAACUUUGCAUAAUGAUGUAUUGAAUUUGAGGAUAUACUGUAUGUUCAGAAAGUACAGGCUCAUAAAUCCUAUCAAUUUGUGAAAAAUAAUUAUUUUGAUUGUUGGUUUUGCCUUUCCACACUUCAUUUGAUUUGUAAACAUGUUUGCUAUUUUUCCUUUUGCAUUUGAGAAUAAUAAAAGUACUCUGUCUGGA